rnacentral:pre_miRNA from 1 species
UCAUAUGGAUGAGCAGAGAAAGUGGUUUCUUAAGACAGACUCUACUCCUGGUGGAGAUGCUGUGAA